AGUGAACGCUGGCGGCGUGCCUAACACAUGCAAGUCGAACGGCCGCACGAUGAGCUUUCUCCUCUACCGUUGGCGACGGGCGGGUGAGUGACACAUGGAUAGCCUACCUAUUUUUCUUGGAUAAUUGCGUGGAACCGCUGCCAAUACCAGAGCAUAUGUUCAACGGCUGGGAUCAAUAGUUAUUGGCGCCUUGCCUGUCUGUAAUAGCUGAUUCCGCGCCGCAUUAGCGAGUUGGUAAGGUAACGGCUUACCAAGGCAACGAUGCGUAGCCGACCUGAGAGGGUGAUCGGCCACACUGGAACUGAGACACGGUCCAGACUCCUACGGGAGGCAGCAGUAGGGAAUAUUCGGCAAUGGGCGAAAGCUUGAUGGAGCCACACCGCGUGAGUGAUGAAGGUCUUCGGAUCGUAAAACUCUGUUAUUAGGGAAGAAAAACUGUGUAAUUAUCUAUGGCCGUUCUGACGGUACCUAAAGAGAAAGCAACGGCUAACUACGUG
rnacentral:rRNA from 1 species